rnacentral:rRNA from 1 species
UACGUAGGGCGCGAGCGUUGUCCGGAUUUAUUGGGCGUAAAGAGCUCGUAGGCGGCUUGUCGCGUCAACUGUGAAAACCCGUGGCUCAACCAUGUGGUCUGCAGUCGAUACGGGCAGGCUAGAAUUCGGUAGGGGAGACUGGAAUUCCUGGUGUAGCGGUGAAAUGCGCAGAUAUCAGGAGGAACACCGGUGGCGAAGGCGGGUCUCUGGGCCGAUAUUGACGCUGAGGAGCGAAAGCGUGGGGAGCAAACAGG